rnacentral:rRNA from 1 species
UACGAAGGGUGCAAGCGUUAUCCGGCUUCAUUGGGUUUAAAGGGUGCGUAGGCGGAGCAUUAAGUCAGUGGUGAAAUCCUGCAGCUCAACUGUAGACUUGCCAUUGAUACUGAUGCUCUUGAGUGCGCUUGAAGUAGGCGGAAUGUGCCGUGUAGCGGUGAAAUGCUUAGAUAUGGCACAGAACACCAAUUGCGAAGGCAGCUUACUAAGGCGAUACUGACGCUGAGGCACGAAAGCGUGGGGAUCGAACAGG